ACUACACCUGGAUUACAGCAAACUCACCUCUCUGGUUGCACAUCGAUCCUCUACAUGGAUAUGGAGGGGGCAGGAUAGCGGGAAGAUGAGACCAGACCUUCGCAAUUUAAGGGUGCUCCAACCAUAGCCAAUGGAUCUAAAGAGAGUGCUAUCCUUCCCCCCAUACCCCGGGGAUUACCUACAUCCAGUGGUGUAUGCCUGCACCGCAGUUAUGCUGCUCUGUCUGCUUGUCUCCAUCAUGACUUACAUUGUCCACCACAGUGUGAUCCGAAUCAGCAGGAAUGGCUGGCACACACUCCUCAACUUCCUCUUUCACACGGGACUGACAUUUGGCAUUUUCGCUGGUGGAAUCAAUCAAAUCAACUUACCUUUUGUGUGUCAGAUUGUUGGCAUUGUGCUCCACUAUGCUUCUUUGUCUACCAUGCUGUGGCUGACCUUCACUGCUAGAAACAUCUGUAAAGACGUUUCCAAAGACCCACUUCAGGUACAGGAGAGGAAUAGGGCUUCCCAGACUCGUACCAAACCAGCCAUCCUCAGAUUUUAUCUUGUAAGUGAUGGAAUCCCUAUCAUAAUAGUUGGAGUUACAGCAGCAUUUGGUAUGGAUAACUAUGGCAGCAGAGAUGAUGCUCUGUAUUGCUGGAUGGCAUGGGAACCAAGUCUGGGUGGUUUCUAUGCUCCCAUGAGUCUUCUGGUCUUAGUCAUGUGUGUGUACUUCUUGUGGACUUACGUCCAGCUGAAGCGCCACCCAGAAAGGAAGUAUGAGCUGCGGGUUUUAAGUGAAGAGCAGCAACAGCUGUCAUCAAAUGAGUCGAACCAUCACUGCCACACUGACACUGGGCCUGCUGGGGACUGCCAGCCCUUUGCUGCGGGCGUGUCAGUUCUGGCCAAUGAGCACUCUUUUAAAUCCCAACUCCGGGCCACAGUCUUCACCCUCUUCCUGUUCCUGGCUACCUGGGCUUUGGGAGCAUUGGCUGUUUCAUUGGGACAUUUCCUGGACAUGAUAUUCAGUUGUCUCUAUGGUGCUUUUUGCGUCACUCUGGGACUCUUCCUUCUCAUCCAGCACUGUGCUAAGCGUGAUGACGUGUGGCACCGUUGGUGGGCUUGUUGCCCAUCCAGAUUAAAGACAGAGGAUGGGCCUGGGGAAGGACAGAGCCAGAGGCAGGAACUCCAUCAGCCACACUGCCAUUUGAAUUCCCCACUCGCAGUGAAGCAGCAGAUGCUUUCGCCUUACCCUAUUCAGAGUUCUCAUCACAGAACAACACCACCUCCCCAAAGCCCAACAUUAAAUCACACAGGUCCAUGCUGUGUGGCUGUAAUGACUCCUGUUAGCCCUUCCCCCAUCUCACCUCAUGCUGACCAAAUGCCUUCACCACGUCCACAGUCACUUCCCGAUGAGGUCCCUCAUCCAACUCUUCCCCUGCAGAGUUGCAUUGCUGAUAGAACAAAGACAUGCUCUUUCAACCGUUCACGCCAAUGCUUCCAGGAUUACCGGUCUCACAUCACUUCCACCAGUAUGGAUGGGAGUGUGCACAGCACUCACCUGGACAGUCCUCAUAAUGUGCACCACAUUGAAGCCUCACCACUGGUUUCUAAUAGUCCACACCCAGAUCUCCAGCUUCCGUAUGUCAGCCCUCAUUUAAAUAGCCAACUUGUAGUUUCCUCUCACAGCUUGGAACGCCAGACCUCCUGCCACAGCGUGCAAGACUCGGUUGCUUCCUGUCACAGUCAUGCCUAUAACAUGCAUGACAGUAUCUCUUCCUGCCACAGCCUCCUUAUGCCUUCUCAUGGGGUCGACACCAGCCAGUGGCAUAUGUACUGCUCAGUCGAUGACUCUUCCAGCACAAACUGUUGUGAGAGAGCUGAUCCCUUCACCUUGCAGUAUGAACAAGAUCCUGACAAUUUGAGCUGGAUGUCAAAGACGGCAGACAAAGAAAAGGUCUGUCUAGAGCUGGAACAGAAAGGUUUCCCAAGGAAUACCCUACCUCGGCAGCAUGGCACUGUGAACCGACGAGGACCCAUUGGUCGAAACAGGAGUCUGCAGGAAGAUAGCCUGUUUGGUUCAGAUGCCACAGGAAACAUACGGACAGGCCCCUGGAAGAAUGAAACCACCGUAUAGUCUUGAAAUCUUUGGAGAAGUCAAACCUUCCAGCAAAUUACUUUGUGUUUGGGUCCCUUUGCCUUCCAGGCCCUAAGACCACAGGUGUCGUGAGGUGCCAUGACGAGAAGGAGUGACUGAGGAAGAUCGUCCACAAGAUGGAAGCUGAGGCCAGGAGAGAGGCUUCAGGAGGAUCAGAGAUCAUCUUCAGCACAGCAGACAUCCCACAGAGAGCUGUGCUACUGGGCUUCCAGGAGAUUGUCAUGAGGAGACUUCGCACAGCAAAAUCUUAAAUAAAAUGAAAGAGAUUCAGCAUUGACGUUGAGGAAGACAACUAAGGUGUACGACGUGCUCUACCUUAAAUCGUCCGCGGUGUUGGAACGUGAGAACCUGAGGGAUGAAGGAGCGUGCCAAGCUCCAUCUGACGGGCAGGAGCAAGUUCAGCGAUGGACUUGUGGUUCUGUGAACAGCACAAAUGCCAGGUGCUUUUAUUUUGAAAGGGGCCGGGAGAAAAAGAAACGAGGGAGAAGGCAGCAGCCACGGGAGAUUGGAGGAGAGAGAGAAGCAUGGGUGAGAUACGGCUAGCGUCUACGGAGACUUUUCCCACGGGACGGCGAGGAUAAAUCAUCCCACGUCGACGGCGGAGUAACAGAGUGUAUGGGACUGUGAGGUAGUGCUGCCCGGACUGGCUUGCACUGUUGCCUCGGAAUCUCCUAGUUAGCGGCGUGCUAACUUGGCUAACCGGACUUAGCCCUCAAGGCGGACUUCGCUAAGGAUCACCGGACCUGUACAGAGCGAGAGGCUAACAACUGCUGAGGCUGACCGAUCAGGACUGUUGGUUCCUACGCACACAAGCAUCGAUCCAGGCCUGCACCGAGGGGACUUGGGAAAUUGGGGUGUGAGUGUGUGGGGCCCAUUACGGUAACGAACUGUUUAACUGUUGUUAUUGUUAUAAUUUAUCAUUGCAAGAGACUGUUUACUUUAAUGAUUUUGUGGGUGUUUAUCAAUCCAUUCAGUAAACCCGCUUAGUUGAAACGGAAGAUCUUGUGUGUUGUACUGUUUCUUAUAUAUAGUUCAGAGUAAGCUAAAGGUGUUAUACAUGUGUAACUAAGGGGAGCUUGCACUGAGGGCAACUGGGUAAGUUCAAGGUAACUAGAACUCAGGGCGUACCCGGCUAUAGUGGAGUACUGAGUCAGGGGCGCUACAAGUAUGUGCAGCAGCUCAAGCUGUACAAUGUUCUGGGGAAAUUGUUUUAUUUCAUCCUUUGACACUGUUAGUUCCACACGAGGUAGAUGUUUUACUACUGCAGACUAAAAUGACAUUUCUGUCACCUGCAAGACACUUGUCUUAAAUGUCAUUGUUACUCUCACAACCACAUAUUACCAUAAAGCGGUGCACAAUUCUGAAUCCGUCAACCCUUUUGCCAACGAAGGAAGAGGGCACUCCUCAUGAGUGUAGAGAGCACGUGGAGAAGGAGUGUAAACCAAGAAAUCACUUAAUAGAUGUGCCAGUCAUUGAGGGAACGGUUUGGUUUGUUGAUGGUUUGAGCUUUACAACAGCUGAGGGACAGGCUAAAAUAGGUUUUACUGUAGGAGAUAUUUAGAAAGUUAUCUGUGCAGGACAAUUAGCAUGUUUUAUAUCUGCUCAAGCAGCAGAAAUAGUAGCUUUAACGGAAGCGUGUAAAGCUGCAGAGAGACAAAAUGUGACAAUAUACACUGAUAGUCAAUAUGCAUUUGCUACAUUACAACCUUACAUUACCUUACAUUACAUUUCUUUGCAGCGCAGUGGGCAAGACGAGGUAUGACAACCUCGACAGGGAAACCUGUAGAACACGCCAAACUCCUGCAAAAUCUGAUGGAAGCAGUAUUAUUGCCCAGUAGAAUUGCCGUUUGUAAAUGUGCAGCACAUACCAGAGGGAAAGAUCCAGUUGCAUUAGGGAAUGCUUUUGCGGAUAAGAUCGCAAAAGAGGCAGCUUUAAGAGCACAUGGUGUUCACAUUUUAGCAGUGCAACACCAGUAGACAUUGCCUAUUAUGCGAGAUGCAUUGGCCGACAUGCAGGCCCACUUACAUACUGCAGGGAAACAGUUGUGGUUCACAAAUGGUGCAAGCUUGCAGGAUGAUGUUUAUUAUGUAUGUGAUAAACCAAUACUGCCUAAGAAUUUAUAUAAGACUGCUGCGAUUUUGAGCCAUGGUCCAUGCCAUGUCUCAACAGGAGGGAUGAUGGCAGCAGUAGAGCAACAUUUUUAUACUCUAGGAUUUAAUACUUUAAAAAAAAAAUUGUAGGUCAUGUAUGGUAUGUUGCAAGCACAAUUCUCGGGGUAAUUUGAGACCUAAGAGAGGGAAAUUCCCCAGACCCAGUCACACAUUUCAAGUUAUUCACAUGGACUUUAUAGAGCUGUCCAACUGUAAUAGCUACAAGUACUGUCUAGUGAUAGUGUGCCUUUUUCAAAGUGGGUAGAAAUCAUCCCAACUAGGAAAGCAGAUGCCAUUUCAGUUACCAAAGCAAUAUGCAAGAAUAUCAUCGUGGAACACGGGAUUCCGGAGAUUAUUUAUAGUUAUAAUGGUCCACAUUUUGUAAAUGAAGUGAUUGGGUUAAUGGCACAGCAUCUAAAACAUCAUUGUUCAUAUCACCUACAAAGUACAGGGUUGGUAGAGAGGACUAAUGGGACAGUAAAGCUAAGACUUAGGAAAACAAUGGAAGAGACAGGCAGGACAUGGUUAGAUUGUAUAGAAUUAGUUAAGAUGUACAUGAGGAUUACUCCAACUGAGAAUGGUCUUGACACCCUUUGAGAUUAUAUAUGGUAGACCAUUUAGGGUUCUAGUUUUCAGUAGUGAUGAUAGAAAAGCAGAAGAGAGAACACAUUAGCAGAUUGGAUGCUUAAAAUGUUUAAAAGUGAAGAAGUCAUGAGAACAAAUGAUCUGCCAGAUGAUUCUGUUUCUCUACAGGAGCAGAGCCUGAAGUCUGGAGAGUCUGGGUGCUAAUAAAGGCCAUAAAGAGGAAGUGCUGGUCCAGUCCACGGUGGAAAGGUCCCUAUCAGGUGCUACUGACGACGCCCAGAGGGGUGAAGAUUGCUGAGAGAAACAUUUGGAUACAUCAAGCGCACUGCAAGAAGGUAACACACUUCCUGGCCGACUCUGGGUAAUGGUGAAAAGACCGGAGUACAAAGGGGAGAGAAAGUCUCCAGGGCCUCUCGUCUCAAUCCCGGUGAAGAAACCAAUGGAUCCAGAACCCAAUUCAGAAUGGCUAGAAAUGUGCUGUGCACCUUCUUGAGCCUGUUGACCCUGAGUGGAUUAACAGGAGCGCACUGGGACAGAGCAAACCACACCCAAUACCCGCAUGGGUUUUCAACCAACUACUGGUGGCAGUUUAUGAAGACAACUGCUCACAUAAACAACAAGACCAAUUGUUAUGCUUCUGAUGCCACUGUCUACACAUUCUUCUGGGCUGUGGCCAUAUAGCAUCACAGGGAGUGAGACAGUUUGUUUGCUUGCCUUAGCAACACACCCAGGAGUAAACAUACUUGGAACAGUGCCAACUUUUCAACUCCCCUGAACCUGAAUGGAAAGGUUGAUUCGCCAGUAGCCGGGAAGGUGAAUUGUUCUGGUACGACAGACCUGCUGGCCUGGCCCCAAGUAUCUGAUCCACUGCCGGACAUUAUACUGCUAAACAAACUGGAAGCAGGCCAGUUACCCAUGUGUAUCAAGGGCAAUGGAUCAGUCCAAGUUGGGGAUUUACCAUGGAAUUUGUGCAAUGUCACCUAUUCUUUUUGCCCUCUACAAGAAGGGAUGUAAACAGAGAAGCCUUUUGUUUACAGUUACAUCAUGAACACUUCUCUAAGCUGGUUGAGGUUUUGAGCCAAGAAGAUCAUAAACAACUUGAUCCAAUUUCCUUUACAAAGCUUUUUCUGCAGUGACAACAGGAAAGGAGAAGAGUUGUAAAUGCAGAUGAUUUACCAGUUGACUCUAACCCCCACAGGAUGUCUACAGUGGAGAAGAUUUGAGGGAUUGAUAGGAGUCAUAAAGAAGAGUGUUGACCAAGCUACAACUUUGAAGAUAGCUGAAAGCCACAUGGACAAACAAUAAAAUAAACUGAUGUGUUGGGAUGCCUAUGUCUGUAUACAGUUGGAUUGUAGUGACAUAUGAUUUGAGAAUGUUGAUUCUUCUUGUUUGACUGUUGACAUUCAUUUGUUUACUUGCAGGAUGUAGUUUACUGUGUAUGCGAUCAAUGAGAAGCAGGUUAACUGCUUACAUGCAUUAACUGUGAACUUUUGCGGCGAUAGAAGGUGAAUGACAUCGGGAGCUGUGUAUGAAUGAAGUCUACACUGACACUGCCAAAACCAAGGGUGCAUAAGUUGAAAUUUAAGCAUACAAUGACAAAAAGGGGGGAAUGUUAAGUCAAAUUGUUGAAUGUUGUCAUUGUGUUUCUUAAAUUUGUAAAGUCUUAGUUCAAGCAGUAGGAUCAAAGAGAUUCCUUUGAUCCUGACCACCUCUCCAGCCACUUUGUGCUGGGAGAGGUUUUAUUGUAGAUACAUCCUAUCUGGAAGAUCUGUUUCUUGU